rnacentral:tRNA from 1 species
CUCAUACUAGGUUAAGUAAACCGUUUAUUUUAUUAAUAAGAAUUUUAAAAAUGAGU